AGAAUGAACGUUGGCGGCGUGGAUUAGGCAUGCAAGUCGCGCGCCCCGCAAGGGGAGCGGCGCAAGGGUGAGUAAGGCGACGGUAACCAACCCCCUGGAUGGGCAUAGCCGCGGGAAACUGCGGGUAAUUCCCAGCGAAGUGCGGAGUCGGCAUCGACUCUUCACCAAAGUUCAGGCGCCGGGGGACGGGCCGUCGUGGUAUUAGCUAGUUGGCGGGGUGACGGCCCACCAAGGCGGCGAUGCCUACCGGGCGUGCGAGCGUGGCCCGGCACACUGGGACUGAGACACUGCCCAGACUCUUACGGGAGGCUGCAGUCGAGAAUCUUCGGCAAUGGGCGCAAGCCUGACCGAGCGACGCCGCGUGGAGGACGAAGGCCUUCGGGUUGUAAACUCCUGUCGAGGGGAGGAAGCCGCAAGGUUGACCGAUCCCGUGGAGGAAGCACGGGCUAAGUUCGUGCCAGCAGCCGC
rnacentral:rRNA from 1 species